rnacentral:rRNA from 1 species
GGCUGUCUUCGAUAGUCCGAGUUGUAAUCUAUAGAAGCGUUUUCCGUGCUGAACUGUGUCUAAGUCCCUUGGAACAGGGUAUCAAAGAGGGUGACAAUCCCGUACUUGACACAAUCAUCAGUGCUCUGUGAUACGUUCUCUACGAGUCGAGUUGUUUGGGAAUGCAGCUCAAAAUGGGUGGUAAAUUCCAUCUAAAGCUAAAUAUUGGCGAGAGACCGAUAGCGAACAAGUACCGUGAGGGAAAGAUGAAAAGCACUUUGGAAAGAGAGUUAAACAGUACGUGAAAUUGUUGAAAGGGAAACGAUUGAAGUCAGUCGUGUUCAUUGGAUUCAGCUAGUUCUUCUAGUCUACUUCCUUUGAACGGGUCAACAUCAGUUUUGUCCGGUGGAUAAAGGUAUUAGGAAUGUGGC